rnacentral:piRNA from 2 species
UCUGAACAUCCAGACAACAAAGCUGCCC